AAUAAACAGCAAAAAAUCUUUCUAUUCCUAAAAAGUGAAUGGUUUUAUAUAUAGAUUAAGUUCUAGGACCUCAGCGGAUACUUUCUGGGCAUGACGAUCUACGCCAGGACUCAGCAGCACCUCCCAGGUGAGCGUGGGUCGUGGAUUGCCGCCCUCGCUGACACAAGCCAAGUUCAGCUCCGAGUUUUCCUUGACGGGCACGAAAAUGUUGCCUGCAUCCAGGCGCCGUGAGUCAAUCAGCAAAUAUGGCGGUUUUGGACGAUCUGUGGGGAGUUAAACAUAAAUAAGAGCUUGCUAUAGAAGAUAUAAAGCAGCAAAAAAGAGAGCAAUUUUAAAUGAACUUGUCGAGCCUGCAAAUUCGUUUUAUCAGGCUUAAGUACAAAAUCUUCAAUAUACACAUAUAUAAGUAUCUUUCUUCA